rnacentral:lncRNA from 1 species
GAUUAAAUAAACAAGAUACAACAUGCUAAUUCAUGAGCUUUAGAGGUGCUGACAAAUGAAAGUGGCAGCCAACACAGUGAGUCUUUGCUGGUGCAGUGUGAGGAGAAAAUUGGUCAUUGUGAGAAGGGUAUGCUGGAUCUGACCCUGGCUACAACCAGACAUGCAAGUGUGAAAUCCAGUUGAAAGGAACACACUAGUAAGAAUCAGAAACAGGUUCAUGAGUAUGAGAAAGUAUUGCAGAGUGGCAGGCAGGGGACUGCGCCCAGUCAUGGCGGACCACAGAAACAAGAUCCGACGAGCCACCCAGCAGGAGAGGAAGAUGGCGACAGUCUUUACUGCAGACUACGAAGGACUAUACUCGAUCCAUAGAAAAGCGGUGGGAGUAGUCUGCGAUUCAACACAACAAAACCAAG